rnacentral:misc_RNA from 1 species
GUCAGAUUCAAAAUUCCAUUAAAGCCCAUAUUUUUUUAAAAGUGAAAGCAUCAUAAAGCUAUCCCAAUAUAAUUUUGUGGAUGGAGGACCAGGAAUCAGACAUUCACACAUAAGAAAUAACUACAACAUGUAUGCUUUAAGUGUCAGAAACACAUCCCUAUAUCUAUGAUCAAAUUUUGAGUCUGAUUUCACACCGGCAAUUUCAGAAAGUACAAAAAACAAAAACAGUAACAUUUUAUUCUAAUUUUGUAAAGUAAUCCUCUUUUAUUCGAGAUGAACUUCCAAAGGCUUUUAUCA